UACGUAGGGGGCUAGCGUUGUCCGGAAUCAUUGGGCGUAAAGCGCGUGUAGGCGGUCCGGUAAGUCCGCUGUGAAAGUCGGGGGCUCAACCCUCGAAUGCCGGUGGAUACUGUCGGGCUCGAGUGCGGGAGAGGCGAGUGGAAUUCCUGGUGUAGCGGUGAAAUGCGCAGAUAUCAGGAGGAACGCCGAUUGCGAAGGCAGCUCGCUGGAACGUUACUGACGCUGAGACGCGAAAGCGUGGGGAGCAAACAGG
rnacentral:rRNA from 1 species